rnacentral:rRNA from 1 species
UACGUAGGCAGCAAGCGUUGUUCGGAGUUACUGGGCGUAAAGAGUGCGUAGGUGGUGCCCUAAGUCUGUUGUGAAAUCUCCCGGCUUAACUGGGAGGGUGCGGUGGAAACUGGGGUGCUUGAGUGUGGGAGAGGUAAGCGGAAUUCCUGGUGUAGCGGUGAAAUGCGUAGAUAUCAGGAGGAACACCGGUGGUGUAGACGGCUUACUGGACCACGACUGACACUGAAGAACGAAAGCUAGGGGAGCAAACAGG